CACAAAGAAAAAAGAAAUACCUGUAGAAGCGCAUCGAAAGCUCCUGGAACAGAGUUGUGUCUCAUAUUUGCAAAGAUGCAGAAAAAAUAAACCCGGGACAUCCAGCUUUCUUUUCCUUUCUUCUUUGACUAUUCUGAGAAGCUAUGCGACUAGGAGCACAUUUUAGGUAAACACGUGGCUUGAGUAGCCAUAAGGCCACUCUUCCCUGUCGUGUGACCCGCGCCUGGGCCUUUAAGAGAUAUUGGUGUUUGAAAAGGGAGGAAUCUGUUUGCCCUCAGAUAUUUAGUUCAACUGCCUGCAUUGCUUCCUAUUUUGUUGUCCAACUCUGUAGUAGUUAGCACUGGCCUUACCAACAUGUAAAGAAAUUUUCUUUACUGCCCCAUGAGUAGUUGGAGGCAAAGAGAAAUUUUUAAAGCGCAGAAAAAGGCCUGCAGGGAGAUGGAAUUUGUUCUGCCAGAGAAACGAGAUGAUAGCUGUAUUUAAUAAAGUUACUGACCUCUUGUCAAAAUUUAAAACGCAAAAGAAGAUGUUUCAAAAUGCAGAGAAUGUCAGAAAACAAAAACUACAGGGACCAGACCAGUAUAAUGUUUAGUUUUCAUUAUACUAACUUUUGUCUAGACUGGAGUUGAUUCACUAUUUUUUCUUUAACUCCUCAGGAAGCAAACCUUCCCGAUGAUGAAGACUUCUUGAAGGAUUUCAUGGGUGAUUUGGGAUCCCAGGACCAUUUGGCUAGUGUGCCUAGGUGACCACAUGAUUGCUGUUUUACCAGGAAUGCAGCAUCCCAUUGACAAAACAAGUGCUCUGAGAAGGUUUAAAAUACUACAGAGAAUAUGGGAACACAGACCUUGAAAUUUAGCUGAGUUGUAACAGCUGAAACUCCAAGAGGUGUCUUCCUUGUUUGAGGUGAAACUAGUGUUGCUUCCAGAGGGCAGCUGGAAACCGUAAAGCUGUUUGGAAAUCUUUUUGACUGACUUGCUGACAAAGAGGUACUGUGAUGCAUUUUAACAAUAUCUAAGUUGAUUUUUUUUUAAAUCAAGGAAAAUAAAAACCAAGCAUGAAUGCUAUGGUAUGUGCCCCUUUUGACCAUCCUGGGCUGAUUAACAUCAUUUAAAUCAAAGUAAUCAUAAAAAGGCAUAUUCUACUUCAAUUAUGUGGUCAAAUAAGAGUAAACACACACACUCACACAUGCUGACCCCAAUUGCCAGAGCAUUACUGCACUAUAAAUUACGGUUAAUUCCCAAAUUAUACUACUGUUUAUCUUAUUUAACAAGUCAGAAAGCACUUUUAAAAUAACUUGAGGGCUACAAGGUCAUUCUAUUAAUGUCAUUCUCCAUUCGGGUUGUAGGCAUGUGGAAGUACCCAUUAAAAGAUAAGUUAGAGUUUAAAUACUGAUAAACAAAACCUUUUAUUGCAACUGGACAGUUUCUGGAGAGUUAGCGGAAGAAUCUUGGAGUUUCCUUUGGUCAGAUGAAUACAACAUUUCACUUUUGCAGCACUAUUUAGAAUGUACUCCAUGGUUCUCUUGUUCCCAACUUCCAAAAAGAACAGAAAACUUUGGUUUACACAGAACACGGGCAUCUGAGGCAGGACCUCUUCCCUGCCCUUUGAUCUGACUCACACCUCCACAUAUGACGUAAUCAACCCAAAUUUGACACCAAUUCACUCUUUUCUGCAAAGGGCAUAUUUUGAAACAAGGGACAGCCUGAGGGCGGCUAUAAUGAGAAUGUUCAUGGGGGUUACUGGGUCCCUAAUUCUGAACUUGCUUAUGACACCCAGAGUGAAUAGAUUCAGAUUCAGAACCUUCUGAGAAAUAACCCAAAGAAAAUUUGUUACCCAGCCAAUUCUUCGAAAGCUUAAUAUCAAAAUAUAUCUUUUCAAGAAGAAAAUCGUUAGAGAGAAGAAUGUGGAGGGGAGAGAAAUGGGUUUCUCAUUGAUAUGAUAUUUUGUUAACCAUUUCAUUUUGAAUUAUUCAAGUUUUGGUUAAUAUUGUAUUCUUUUUUCGUAACUAUUUUACCGUGAGAGUAGGUCAUUGGGUUACUUAGAUAUUUAUUUUUACACAGUUAUUAGUCUUCAGAUAGUUUUAUUUUACUUCAUAUGAUUUUAGUUUUUGUCAGUAUAAUUUUAAAUCAUGUUUUUCUUGGUCAUCUCUUUGUGUAUAUUGUGUAAUUGGAUUUUCAUUGACUGCAAGUGGAGUGUUUGCCACUCAAUUCAGUACUCAGUACUAUGGUGACUUGUUUUCAAAUAAGUCUCAGAUACACAUUUAGGGAGCCUUUGCUGGCCGAAUAUAGACUCUGUCAGGACAGCAGGUCCCCUGAUCUAAGAAUUUUCCCCAAUGGUUGCUCUAAAAAUGCUGCUAUUUUGCUGUUCACUGUAUUGCACUUAGUUAAAAAGAAGAUAAUGUGAAAGAUGAGAGCAGUUUUUUAAAGGAUCUUUUCAUAUACCCAAUUCCCUUAUUUUCAGAUGUCCCAUCAAUUUUAGAUAUGAAAGCUUUAAGUAAAAGUGUGUAUGCCUUUCUACUGUCAGAACAGGAUGGAUGCAGCCUGGGUCAGAUUUAUUUAAGAUAAAAAUCAUGCAGACUCAUCAUUCAUAUCAUAGGUGAAAAAUGUAAAAACCAAAUGGUUUCCACUAAAGCCACCAAGAUCUUUUAGAAAUGUUUGCACCUUUGGUGGUGGCACAGGAAAAGAGAAGAAUUCAGCUGGAGUGAAUUCUAGAAGUAGAUAUCAGAAACGGGGCAUGAAGAACAGGGGAACUGGGUGGCAUCAGACUCCUAAAGAAGUGAGUUAAUUUUCCUUCCCUUCCAUUCAGAUUCAUGCCACAGCUCCAUAUCUUGAGUAUGUGUAAGAGGUGAGUUCCUUCUUCAGCCAGGGGCGGUGGCUCAUGCCUUUAAUCCCAAUGCUUUGGGAGGCCAAGGUGGGAGGAUCACUUGUGCCUUGGGGUUCAAGGUUGCAGUGAACCAUGAUUGCACCACUGCACUCCAGCCUGAGUGACAGAGCAAGACCCUGUCUCUAAAAAUAUAUAUAAAAAGUAAAACUAAAGAACUUCUUGCCUAAACCUGAAUUACCGCAAUUUGCUGAGUGACUUUGAGAAAAAUCAGACUGUUUAGUUCAGUCGGGAUGAAAAGCUUGCGAUUGCUUCCCACAAGAAUGGGCAAUAGUGACGGCUGCAAGGUACUUUUAUUUGUUCAUGAAAGAACGACAAUUUUUCAAAAUGUAAUUAAACAUAAUAGAAUGUUUUAAACUACUGGGCACUGAAACUGGAAGAAAAAGGAGGCUUUAUUGAACAUUCCCCUUUUUCAGUUGGUUCAAAGUUCAGCACUGUGGUUAUCAUUGGUGAUGCCAGAAAACAUUAGUAGACUUAGACAAUUGCUAUGGCAGUUUCUAAACAGAGCUUUUUCUAUACACUAUUUGCAACUGGAGUGCAAUAUUGUAUAUUCUGUGUUAAAGAAAUAAAGUAUUUUUAUCAUUUAUUAA
rnacentral:lncRNA from 1 species